rnacentral:rRNA from 1 species
CCAGCACCUGCGGUAAUUCCAGCUCCAGUAGCGUAUAUUAAAGUUGUUGCAGUUAAAAAGCUCGUAGUUGGAUGUCUGGCGUGGUGGUUUUUGCGGCUUGGGAGUGGUCAUUGUGCCCUCUUUGUAGCCGGGCCGCCUGUCAUCUUUGGUGUGUGUGUGGGUGGGUGGGGCGUUUACUCGUCCCCUCACCCUCUACGCACACCUCGUUUACUUUGAAAAAAUUAGAGUGUUUAAAGCAGGCAGUAAUGCUUCUGAAUAUACUAGCAUGGAAUAAUAAGAUAGGUCUUUGGUACUAUUUUGUUGGUUUGCGCACCAGAGAAAUGAUUAAUAGGGACAGUUGGGGCUAUUCGUAUUCCAUUGUCAGAGGUGAAAUUCUUGGAUUUCUGGAAGACGAACUACUGCGAAAGCAUUUAGCAAGGAUGUUUUCAUUAAUCAAGAACGAAAGU